CACCAAAUCCAAAUCCCUAUAUAUACUCUCCCAAUCUCCUCCACUGUUAUCACAUCUAGGUUUCUAACUCCAAAUGUGUUCUCUCUCUCCUCCUUUUCCAUUCUUGCUUUUCUUUUUCUCCUUACUGUUUGUGUUAGAUCUCACAUUGCUAUUUUGAUUGGAUUCUUAUUAACUUUGUUUCUCAUUCAUCAUCUUUGCCCUUAUAUUCUUCUUAAACACAUACAACACAUCAUCUCCAAUAGAUUUUGAAUCUCAUAUCCUUCAGUUUUCUUCCAUCUUUAUAAUGCAAGUUUGUUGGAGUAAUACCUAAUAAUUGGCAGGAUCUAAGGAAAGGAGGCAUAGUUGCAUGGAUGGAGAGAUAGACAGUCGUCAUUAGCGGAUGUAGCAUCAUCAAGAUUCACAUGAAAAAUGCUGAUUGGACUCUGAUCUGAUCUUAACCACUCCAUAGCUCUUUUUUUAUUGAGAAUCUUGAUGAUGCUGCAUCAGCCAUAAACGGCUUUACAUAAUUACUAUUUUACCCUUCAUCACACACAUUUACUGUCAGGUCAGUUUUUAUUUUAUAUCUUUCUCUUCUGAAUUAGCAGUUAAUUAGUGGCAUCAUGGGCUUACCGUGCUUUAUUUAUUUAUUUAUUCAUUUUUAUUAUCAUUAAUUAAUUAAUUAAUUAAUUCAGCAGUACAGUACGAGGAAUUAAUUAGGUUUUGCAGACAGACAAUCCUAGGUUAUCAAAAAUGGCGGAGGGUAGCGGUUAUUAGGUCUUGUUUGGCUGACUUCAUAGAUCUAUAUAUGUAGAUUCCUUUUCAACUGAAAUGUUGUCUUUUCUUUUUCUAAAUAUAGAUGCUGAAAAAUGAUAUAUGACACUUUUUCCAAAUCUGGAGAGGAAACUAAAAUUAGUAACUUCAUUCAUAUCCUUCAAAACUAAUUCAGAUUCAUUUUUACGUUCUCUUAAAUGUUUUUCAAUAAUACUAUGUAAUGUAUUUUCAGUACUCUUCUACUCAUGUUAAUUUUAUUUUCUUUAUAAAAAUACAAACUAUCAAACCCAACAAUUUUUUUAUAGUCAUAUAAUUAAAAUUGGUUUAAAACUUUAACAACAACAUGUCAUAAGUAGAGGUUCAUAUAUUACUCAUCUUCACAAUUAAAACAUAAACAAGAUUGGUGCCAGAUUAAAAGAAAAUAAGAAAAGCAAAUAUUAGUAUCACAAAACUAUACAUAUGUCUAUUUUCUCUUUCUUUUAUUUGUUGAAUUAAUAUUGAUCAAGAUAUUUUCUCAAUAGUAAUGAUAUGGAAGAUCUUAAACUUUUAAUUAGAUAUGACUAUGUCGUGUUGGGUUCAAUUGAGACUGAUUAGUCAUAUGUUAACUAUGAAUAGACUCGUAUAUCUAAUAUUUUAAGUUUUAUGUAGAAUGUGAUAUUUGUAAUUCUCAAGUAGUUAACCUAUUGUUACUUUCAUACUCUCAAUCCACUGUAGACCACAUGAGACUGCUUACUGCAUAUGUAUUAGUAUUAUAUAUGGACAUAUACUAAUAGUUCUUUUGGGCUUAUAAAUAGGUGCAUUUAAACAUAUAGUAAGAACUCUUACAGGUACUCGAGCAUCUUAAGAUGGUUUUUGACAUGGAUGAAGACGAGUCAUUACCUCUCUUGUAUGAAUAUAAUGGUGUGUAGAUUUGUUGGAAUGUUUAUUAAGACGCUAAUUAUCAUGGUUUUAAAUUACAGUUCGUGAUUGUAAUUGCGGUUGAAAUAUUGUGAAAUUUGGAAGAGCCUCAACCACAUCGUUGCCGCAAUUUAGACUGUAUCGAAUGCAUUUGUCUUUAUUUUUAUGCUAUAUAAAGGUUUGCAACAUAACCACAAUCACGGCCGCAAUUUAAAACUACAGUAUUUAAUUUAUUGCUUUA